GCGGAUGUGCUGGAAUGGCAGACAGGCACGUUUGAGGGGCGUGUGUCAGUAGACGUAUGGGUUCAAGUCCCAUCAUCCGCA
rnacentral:tRNA from 1 species